rnacentral:rRNA from 1 species
GACGAACCGAGCGAACGUUGUUCGGAAUCACUGGGCUUAAAGGGCGCGUAGGCGGGUGCUCAAGUCUGUGGUGAAAUCCUCCGGCUCAACCGGAGAACGGCCAUGGAUACUGGGUGUCUCGAGGGUGAUAGGGGUAUGCGGAACUAUCGGUGGAGCGGUGAAAUGCGUUGAUAUCGAUAGGAACUCCGGUGGCGAAGGCGGCAUACUGGAUCACUUCUGACGCUGAGGCGCGAAAGCUAGGGGAGCAAACGGG